rnacentral:pre_miRNA from 1 species
AGCUUUUUGAAUCCGUGUUGAGAUUUCUUCAGACACCAACCCAUUAAGGCUCAUCAGACUUCCAAGAUAAGUGAAGUU